rnacentral:rRNA from 1 species
UACGUAGGGGGCAAGCGUUGUCCGGAUUUAUUGGGCGUAAAGCGUGCGCAGGCGGUUGUGCAAGACCGAUGUGAAAUCCCCGGGCUUAACCUGGGAAUGGCAUUGGUGACUGCACGGCUAGAGUGUGUCAGAGGGGGGUAGAAUUCCACGUGUAGCAGUGAAAUGCGUAGAGAUGUGGAGGAAUACCGAUGGCGAAGGCAGCCCCCUGGGAUAACACUGACGCUCAUGCACGAAAGCGUGGGGAGCAAACAGG